rnacentral:rRNA from 1 species
UGGGGAAUAUUGGACAAUGGGCCACAAGCCUGAUCCAGCAAUUCUGUGUGCACGAUGAAGGUCUUCGGAUUGUAAAGUGCUUUCAGUAGGGAAGAAUAAAUGACGGUACCUACAGAAGAAGCGACGGCUAAAUAUGUGCCAGCAGCCGCGGUAAUACAUAUGUCGCAAGCGUUAUCCGGAUUUAUUGGGCGUAAAGCGCGUCUAGGCGGUUUACUAAGUCUGAUGUGAAAAUGCGGGGCUCAACUCCGUAUUGCGUUGGAAACUGGUAGACUAGAGUACUGGAGAGGUGGGCGGAACUACAAGUGUAGAGGUGGAAUUCGUAGAUAUUUGUAGGAAUGCCGAUGGAGAAGUCAGCUCACUGGACAGAUACUGACGCUAAAGCGCGAAAGCGUGGGGAGCAAACAGG